CUGCUGUUACAAAACCCACAGAAAAUUUUCAGCUGUUCUACCUCACUCAUUUGGGGUUAAAAACCCCAAAUAAUUGAUUGGCAAGUGAAGGCAAAGCAAAUGAUGGAGAGGGCUGUCAAAACCAGGCGUUAUUUUUGUCUCGGGAUCCUGAACACAUCAGAAGCUCCUUCCCUGCCUGUGGAAUUGUGCUCUCCUCUUGAAUGCUCUGUUCCUUCUGGCUGGGGAGAGAAUCAGGCACAGCCUGCUGGGCUUGGCUGGUGUUUUAUUGCCUCAGAGAUGGCUCUGCCACCUCGCUGUGACCCAUGGCUCCCAGAUCCGCUCCCAGGACGGGCUCCUUCCUAAUCCAGCAGAGAUUUCACCAGCAUGGAUCUGAGUUUUGUUCCAGAAAGAACAGCAGAGGACACCCCAGAACUCAGCAAGUGUUGGCUCUGUGCCGUAAUCCCUCUUUGUGUCUGUCACAAAGAGAUCCUGCGAGGGGCUGGGAUUCCGCUGCCGAAUCCCCAAUCCCUGCGGCAGACCGAGGUGCCAGAGCUGCCAAACUUCCCCUCGUCCCUGUGCCAUGGAGGGGUUUGGUUUCAUUGAAAUUCCCUGAGAUCGGUGAUAAAUGGGAUGUGCUGAGUGGGAUCGUGAUGGUUCAAGAGCGUGGGGAAAAGCAAAAAUGCUUCCAGCAGGCUGGAAAAUAUCCCUGGAGCAGGAUCCCCAGGCAGUAGGAAGUGCAAAAGGAAGCAAAGAUGCUGCGUUUGGCUUCUGCAAAUGGAAGAGGCAGGGAAUUGCUGUGAAUUCCAGCAGGGAAUUGCUGUGAACUCCUUCCCUUCAGACUGGUCCAGGAGAACUGCUCAGGAAAGUUGUGAAUUGUUUUAAUGCCAGAUCUGUGUUCAGCUCCUGUUUCCCAGCUUAUUGACCCUUCCAAAAGCCAUCCCAAAAAUAAAACCUGGAUGGAAAGAAAGGGGAGAAGGGAU
rnacentral:lncRNA from 1 species